UUAAGCGACUAAGCGUACACGGUGGAUGCCCUGGCAGUCAGAGGCGAUGAAGGGCGUGCUAAUCUGCGAUAAGCGCCGGUAAGGUGAUAUGAACCGUUAUAACCGGCGAUACCCGAAUGGGGAAACCCAGUGUGAUUCGUCACACUAUCAUUAACUGAAUCCAUAGGUUAAUGAGGCGAACCGGGGGAACUGAAACAUCUAAGUACCCCGAGGAAAAGAAAUCAACCGAGAUUCCCCCAGUAGCGGCGAGCGAACGGGGAGGAGCCCAGAGCCUGAAUCAGCAUGUGUGUUAGUGGAAGCGUCUGGAAAGGCGCGCGAUACAGGGUGACAGCCCCGUACACAAAAGCGCAUGUGCUGUGAGCUCGAUGAGUAGGGCGGGACACGUGGUAUCCUGUCUGAAUAUGGGGGGACCAUCCUCCAAGGCUAAAUACUCCUGACUGACCGAUAGUGAACCAGUACCGUGAGGGAAAGGCGAAAAGAACCCCGGCGAGGGGAGUGAAAAAGAACCUGAAACCGUGUACGUACAAGCAGUGGGAGCCCCACCACUAAGCCAGUGGUGAACUCCACAUCCGCAUCCUUUGCUGAGGAUACGGUUAACGGAGCGAAAGCGACGUUCAACCGCAAAACAAGCAGAGGGGGCUUAGUGGUGGGGUGACUGCGUACCUUUUGUAUAAUGGGUCAGCGACUUAUAUUCUGUAGCAAGGUUAACCGAAUAGGGGAGCCGGAGGGAAACCGAGUCUUAAUUGGGCGUUAAGUUGCAGGGUAUAGACCCGAAACCCGGUGAUCUAGCCAUGGGCAGGUUGAAGGUUGGGUAACACUAACUGGAGGACCGAACCGACUAAUGUUGAAAAAUUAGCGGAUGACCUGUGGCUGGGGGUGAAAGGCCAAUCAAACCGGGAGAUAGCUGGUUCUCCCCGAAAGCUAUUUAGGUAGCGCCUCGUGAAUUCAUCUCCGGGGGUAGAGCACUGUUUCGGCUAGGGGGCCAUCCCGGCUUACCAACCCGAUGCAAACUGCGAAUACCGGAGAAUGUUAUCACGGGAGACACACGGCGGGUGCUAACGUCCGUCGUGAAGAGGGAAACAACCCAGACCGCCAGCUAAGGUCCCAAAGUCAUGGUUAAGUGGGAAACGAUGUGGGAAGGCCCAGACAGCCAGGAUGUUGGCUUAGAAGCAGCCAUCAUUUAAAGAAAGCGUAAUAGCUCACUGGUCGAGUCGGCCUGCGCGGAAGAUGUAACGGGGCUAAACCAUGCACCGAAGCUGCGGCAGCGAACGUAUCACCCAAGACAACUUUACGGAGUUGACGAUUGACGGAGCGAAGCGACGUCAAAGCGUUCAUUAAAGUCGAGUUGGCUUAGGGAUACGUUCGUUGGGUAGGGGAGCGUUCUGUAAGCCUGUGAAGGUGUGUCGUGAGGCAUGCUGGAGGUAUCAGAAGUGCGAAUGCUGACAUAAGUAACGAUAAAGCGGGUGAAAAGCCCGCUCGCCGGAAGACCAAGGGUUCCUGUCCAACGUUAAUCGGGGCAGGGUGAGUCGACCCCUAAGGCGAGGCCGAAAGGCGUAGUCGAUGGGAAACGGGUUAAUAUUCCCGUACUUGGUGUUACUGCGAAGGGGGGACGGAGAAGGCUAUGUUGGCCGGGCGACGGUUGUCCCGGUUUAAGCGUGUAGGUGUGUGUUCCAGGUAAAUCCGGUUCACUUUAACACUGAGGCGUGACGACGAGGCACUACGGUGCUGAAGCAACAAAUGCCCUGCUUCCAGGAAAAGCCUCUAAGCAUCAGGUAACACGAAAUCGUACCCCAAACCGACACAGGUGGUCAGGUAGAGAAUACCAAGGCGCUUGAGAGAACUCGGGUGAAGGAACUAGGCAAAAUGGUGCCGUAACUUCGGGAGAAGGCACGCUGACACGUAGGUGAAGUGAUUUACUCAUGGAGCUGAAGUCAGUCGAAGAUACCAGCUGGCUGCAACUGUUUAUUAAAAACACAGCACUGUGCAAACACGAAAGUGGACGUAUACGGUGUGACGCCUGCCCGGUGCCGGAAGGUUAAUUGAUGGGGUCAGCGUAAGCGAAGCUCCUGAUCGAAGCCCCGGUAAACGGCGGCCGUAACUAUAACGGUCCUAAGGUAGCGAAAUUCCUUGUCGGGUAAGUUCCGACCUGCACGAAUGGCGUAAUGAUGGCCAGGCUGUCUCCACCCGAGACUCAGUGAAAUUGAACUCGCUGUGAAGAUGCAGUGUACCCGCGGCAAGACGGAAAGACCCCGUGAACCUUUACUAUAGCUUGACACUGAACAUUGAGCCUUGAUGUGUAGGAUAGGUGGGAGGCUUUGAAGUGUGGACGCCAGUCUGCAUGGAGCCGACCUUGAAAUACCACCCUUUAAUGUUUGAUGUUCUAACGUGGACCCGUAAUCCGGGUUGCGGACAGUGUCUGGUGGGUAGUUUGACUGGGGCGGUCUCCUCCUAAAGAGUAACGGAGGAGCACGAAGGUUGGCUAAUCCUGGUCGGACAUCAGGAGGUUAGUGCAAUGGCAUAAGCCAGCUUGACUGCGAGCGUGACGGCGCGAGCAGGUGCGAAAGCAGGUCAUAGUGAUCCGGUGGUUCUGAAUGGAAGGGCCAUCGCUCAACGGAUAAAAGGUACUCCGGGGAUAACAGGCUGAUACCGCCCAAGAGUUCAUAUCGACGGCGGUGUUUGGCACCUCGAUGUCGGCUCAUCACAUCCUGGGGCUGAAGUAGGUCCCAAGGGUAUGGCUGUUCGCCAUUUAAAGUGGUACGCGAGCUGGGUUUAGAACGUCGUGAGACAGUUCGGUCCCUAUCUGCCGUGGGCGCUGGAGAACUGAGGGGGGCUGCUCCUAGUACGAGAGGACCGGAGUGGACGCAUCACUGGUGUUCGGGUUGUCAUGCCAAUGGCACUGCCCGGUAGCUAAAUGCGGAAGAGAUAAGUGCUGAAAGCAUCUAAGCACGAAACUUGCCCCGAGAUGAGUUCUCCCUGAGACUUAGAGUCUCCUGAAGGAACGUUGAAGACGACGACGUUGAUAGGCCGGGUGUGUAAGCGCAGCGAUGCGUUGAGCUAACCGGUACUAAUGAACCGUGAGGCUUAACCU
rnacentral:rRNA from 1 species